rnacentral:rRNA from 1 species
UUGACGGGGGCCCGCACAAGCGGUGGAGUAUGUGGUUUAAUUCGACGCAACGCGAAGAACCUUACCUGGUCUUGACAUCCACGGAAGUUUUCAGAGAUGAGAAUGUGCCUUCGGGAACCGUGAGACAGGUGCUGCAUGGCUGUCGUCAGCUCGUGUUGUGAAAUGUUGGGUUAAGUCCCGCAACGAGCGCAACCCUUAUCCUUUGUUGCCAGCGGUCCGGCCGGGAACUCAAAGGAGACUGCCAGUGAUAAACUGGAGGAAGGUGGGAUGACGUCAAGUCAUCAUGGCCCUUACGACCAGGGCUACACACGUGCUACAAUGGCGCAUACAAAGAGAAGCGACCUCGCGAGAGCAAGCGGACCUCAUAAAGUGCGUCGUAGUCCGGAUUGGAGUCUGCAACUCGACUCCAUGAAGUCGGAAUCGCUAGUAAUCGUGGAUCAGAAUGCCACGGUCGAAUACGUUCCCGGGCCUU